CGGUGGAGCAUGUGGUUAAUUCGACGCAACGCGAAGAACCUUACCAGGGCUUGACAUCCCUGACCGCGUAUGAAAGACGUUUUCACCCUCGGGUGACAGGGAGACAGGUGGUGCAUGGUUGUCGUCAGCUCGUGUCGUGAGAUGUUGGGUUAAGUCCCGCAACGAGCGCAACCCCUAUUGUUAGUUGCCAUCAUUCAGUUGGGCACUCUAGCGAGACUGCCGGUAAUAACCGGAGGAAGUGGGAUGACGUCAAAUCAUCAUGCCCCUUAUGACCUGGGCUACACACGUGCUACAAUGGUUGGUACAACGAGUUGCGAGUCGGUGACGGCGAGCUAAUCUCUUAAAGCCAAUCUCAGUUCGGAUUGUAGGCUGCAACUCGCCUACAUGAAGUCGGAAUCGCUAGUAAUCGCGGAUCAGCACGCCGCGGUGAAUACGUUCCCGGGCCUU
rnacentral:rRNA from 1 species